rnacentral:rRNA from 1 species
CCCUUAGAUGUUCUGGGCCGCACGCGCGCUACACUGAUGCAUUCAACGAGUCUAAAACCUGGUCUGAUAGGGCUGGGUAAUCUUUUGAAUGUGCAUCGUGAUUGGGAUAGAUGAUUGCAAUUCUUCAUCUUCAACGAGAAAUGCCUAGUAAACGCAAGUCAUCAGCUUGCAUUGAUUACGUCCCUGCCCUUUGUACACACCGCCCGUCGCUCCUACCGAUUGAAUGUUCCGAUGAAUACCAUGGACUGAGAGUAUGAAUGGGUUCGCCUAUUUCUGCUUCUCGGGAAGUGGAGUAAAUCUUAACAUUUAGAGGAAGGAGAAGUCGUAACA